rnacentral:rRNA from 1 species
GACGAACGCUGGCGGCGUGCUUAACACAUGCAAGUCGAACGAUGAAGAAAAGAAUCGAAGCUUCGGCAGAAAUUCAUUUCGGAUUAGUGGCAGACGGGUGAGUAACGCGUGAGCAACCUACCUCUUACAAAGGGAUAGCCUCGGGAAACCGGGAUUAAUACCAUAUAACAUUGUGACGAAGCAUUUCGAUGCAAUCAAAGCUACGGCGGUAAGAGAUGGGCUCGCGUCCCAUUAACCGGAUGGUGAGGUAACGGCUCACCAUAGUGACGAUGGGUAACCGGCCUGAGAGGGUGAACGGUCACACUGGAACUGAGACACGGUCCAGACUCCUACGGGAGGCAGCAGUGGGGAAUAUUGCACAAUGGAGGGAACUCUGAUGCAGCGACGCCGCGUGAGUGAUGAAGGAAUUCGUUUCGUAAAACUCUGCUCUAUGGGAAGAAAAGGACUGUACCAUAGGAGAAAGCUCCGGCUAAAUACGUG